AUGUAAGUAUAUCACUCAAGUAUCCAAUUUCAAAUGUUUGCCAAAACCAAAAGUUACUUAAUAGUUUAUCGUUUUUAGCUCAUACAAUGGAUUAUACUUAUUAUGGUUAUCAAAACCGAGAUAUAUGAUGUACCACGUACGAGGAGCUAGGUAGUGGAGCCAAUGUAUUGACAAUUUUUCAGACGUUGACUUUCUUGAAGAUAAUUCUGCCGACCCAGAUGAAGCCAUACCUUAUUGGUGAGAAUUAUGAAACUGAAAGGUCGUCAAGCCCGUUCCCAAUUGCAAUGAGGAAAUACAACCUUCUUUGAAUGAAGAGUACGGAAUUACCAAAAAGCGCAGUGUAUAGUAGAAGUGUAUACUUUUCAGUAAAACAUCCAUUGUCUCGCCUCGCCACAUUAACGUUAAUCUUCAUUUAUUUCCAAAAAAUCAAUGAAAUAGAAGGAAAUAAUGGCCAAAAAUCUUCGAAUUAAAUGAUUAUCCCAAUUUCUACUGGCAUAGAAUCUGCGAUAAACAUUUCACAAUAAUUACUGGUUGUAAACAAUGCUCAGCAAAUUAUAGUAAACAUGGUCAGAGGCUGUCUCAAAACAUAAUCCAAACCACUUGACUGGGAUAGAGAAGUAAAAUAAAUGUUUUGAUUCACGGCAACACUGGUACUAAUCUGAGCACGACUAGUAACUCGCAUCUAAGAGGCAAAAUGGUUUAACAUAAUUCAUAAAUUAGGUAUUUAUAUAUAUUUUACAAUUUGCAUUUUCAGAUAAUUUUGUUUCUCCAACGAUGAGUUAGAAGAAAAUUAACAGACGAAUAAGGCAUUUGGAGUCUGUACAGUUGAUGAUUUUAAUUCACCCAGAAAAGCCUCCGAUACCCAAUAAUGUCUAAUUCACACACACCUAUCUCAUACAAUGGAUUAUACUUAUUAUGGUUAUCAAAACCGAGAUAUAUGAUGUACCACGUACGAGGAGCUAGGUAGUGGAGCCAAUGUAUUGACAAUUUUUCAGACGUUGACUUUCUUGAAGAUAAUUCUGCCGACCCAGAUGAAGCCAUACCUUAUUGGUGAGAAUUAUGAAACUGAAAGGUGAGAAUAUUGUUGAUAGGUUUUUAUUCCAGAUCUAUAUUACUGUGCUAUUAGCUAACAUACCCUCCUGUUCACGGGACACAUUGUACAAUAUCUAAUCGUGUGCGUGGACAUAUUAUAUUCAGCUCUUUUAGUCAAAAAAAAUUAAUAAAUAAAUAAUUAUAUGUUACAAUCUUAAAAUGUCCAUGACUUGUUUUAAAGAUAAAAUACAAAUAUAACAAGUGCUUGCCCCAUAAGGUUCUUUAAAAAUAUUCUUGCGUUUAAGUUUGAUUUUAACAUUAUAUCAUAUCACUCUAAACACAUAACUAGUUUGGACAUUGGUAUCUUUUCUGAAGGGAAAGUGCAUCUAGUUGGAUGCGUUAAACAGGUAAAGAUUGAUUGUACCCGUUUGUUUUCAAAUACAUGGGGAAAAACAAAAAGAUGAUUGAGGAAAAAUGAUUACAUUUUUGACAAACAUUGAUUUUCUUUUAUCGGCAAAAAUUACCUAGGUGUAGAUACAUGAUUCGUUUGCCGAAUGUUCCUGUUAGCAUU